rnacentral:lncRNA from 1 species
UGAGGACCUGAGGCACAGACGCUAACCAGCUUGCUGGAGAUCACACACUCAUGAGUGGCAGAGUGGGGCUCGGAACCGGGCAGCCUGCCUCUGGAGCCCUCACUCCAUCUGCACACCAUGCUGGGACCCAGUCGAGUGACCAGCAGACCGGUUGUGUGGGUUAGGUGGAAUGGUGGAUAUAAACCACACAGCCCAGCUCCUGGCCCGUGCUGGGCCCUCAACUUAAUUGCUGCCUAGAGCUCAUAGAAGGAUCUCACAGCACUGCUCCAGGGCACUGAAGCUUACAGUGAAAGCACAUUUUCAGCAAGUACUGAAGAUUGUCUCCACGUUGGCUGGUUUGAAACUGUGAUCUUUUGAAUGUAAUCAAGGAAAGGAAUGGAAAGGAAAGAAGUGCUCAGAAAGCUCCCAGAAGCAUUUUGGCACUCACCAAAGCAGCCGGAAGAUGAAUAACACAGUGGGGAUAGAUGGCUAACAAGAAGCCCCUCUCUGGAUGCCGGCCCCUCUUGGACUUCCCAGCUUCCAGAAUUGUGUAUGUUUAAGCUCAGGCUGGAAAAGGAUCACUGAAAGUCACUUGGAUGGUGUUUCGUGUGUCUGUGAUGAGCUUGCUGUUGCUUUCUUUCUUCUUGACAGAUGAGAAAACAGUGGCUUCAAAGGUCAAACAACUUGUCUUCGAUUGCACAGCUAACAAGAG